GUUCCCUGGUCCAGGCAGCGCUGACUCAGCCGGCCUCGGUGUCAGCGAACCCGGGAGAAACCGUCCGGAUCACCUGCUCCGGGGGUAGCUACUAUUUUGGCUGGUUCCAGCAGAAGGUACCUGGUACUGCCCCUGUCACUGUGAUCCAUUAUAACAACAAGAGACCCUCGGACAUCCCUUCGCGAUUCUCCGGCUCCCAGUCCGGCUCCACGGGCACGUUAACCAUCACUGGGGUCCAAGCCGAGGACGAGGCCGUCUAUUACUGUGGUAGCGCAGACAGCAGCAGUUUUCCUGUUGUAGUGACACAGAGAGCUGUGGAAGGCUGUGACUAUGUCCCCAGCGAUGGGACCCUGGUGACGGAGAAACCCUGGCCAGGCUCGUCCCUGCUGCCCAAUAUCGAC